rnacentral:rRNA from 1 species
AUUGAACGCUGGCGGCAUGCUUUACACAUGCAAGUCGAACGGUAACAGGCCUUCGGGUGCUGACGAGUGGCGAACGGGUGAGUAAUGCAUCGGAACGUGCCCAGAGGUGGGGGAUAACGCAGCGAAAGCUGUGCUAAUACCGCAUGUGAUCUGAGGAUGAAAGCGGGGGACCAGGCAGCAAUGUUUGGCCUCGCGCCUUUUGAUCCGCCGAUGUCAGAUUAGGUAGUUGGUGGGGUAAAGGCCUACCAAGCCGACGAUCUGUAGCUGGUCUGAGAGGACGACCAGCCACACUGGGACUGAGACACGGCCCAGACUCCUACGGGAGGCAGCAGUGGGGAAUUUUGGACAAUGGGCGCAAGCCUGAUCCAGCAAUGCCGCGUGCGGGAAGAAGGCCUUCGGGUUGUAAACCGCUUUUGUACGGAACGAAAAGGCUCUGGCUAAUACCUGGGGCUGAUGACGGUACCGUAAGAAUAAGCACCGGCUAACUACGUG